UACGUAGGCAGCGAGCGUUGUUCGGAGUUACUGGGCGUAAAGGGUGUGUAGGCGGCCUCUUAAGUUUGGUGUGAAAUCUCCCGGCUCAACUGGGAGGGUGCGCCGGAUACUGAGGGGCUCGAGUGCGGGAAGGGAAAGUGGAAUUCCUGGUGUAGCGGUGAAAUGCGUAGAUAUCAGGAGGAACACCGGUGGUGCAAACGGCUUUCUGGACCGUAACUGACGCUGGAGACACGAAAGCGUGGGGAGCAAACAGG
rnacentral:rRNA from 1 species